rnacentral:rRNA from 1 species
CCUACGGGAGGCAGCAGUGAGGAAUAUUGGUCAAUGGACGAGAGUCUGAACCAGCCAAGUAGCGUGAAGGAUGACUGCCCUAUGGGUUGUAAACUUCUUUUAUAUGGGAAUAAAAUGUUCAACGUGGGGGAUUUUGUAUGUACCAUAUGAAUAAGGAUCGGCUAACUCCGUGCCAGCAGCCGAGGUAAUACGGUGGAUCCGAGCGUUAUCCGGAUUUAUUGGGGUUAACGGGAGCGUAGGUGGAUUGUUAAGUCAGUUGUGAAAGUUUGCGGAUCAAUCGUAAAAUUGAAGUUGAAACUGGCAGUCUUGAGUACAGUAGAGGUGAGCGGAAUUCGUGGUGUAGCAGUGAAAUGCUUAGAUAUCACGAAGAACUCCGAUUGCGAAGGCAGUUCACUGGACUACAACUGACACUGAGGCUCGAAAGUGUGGGUAUCAAACAGGAUUAGAUACCCGAGUAGUC